rnacentral:tRNA from 1 species
UCGCGCACGUGGACGAGCUCGGAUGCGUCGACGCUCUUGUCGGGAUCGGCACUGGUGAGACGGUUGGUCCAAUCAACCAUGCGCGGGCCA